UCCGAUAUGGUGUAAUGGCUAACAUUAUCGCCUCUCACGCGAUAGCCCUGGGUUCGAUUCCCAGUAUCGGAG
rfam:Rhizoctonia solani isolate BBA 69670 genome assembly, contig: RSOLAG22IIIB_scaffold00091